UCAUGUAUUUCUAAGCGACGGUGGAGAAUUUGCCAACGGAACACCACACGGCAAUCGUUGGCUGCAGGGCUGGGCAGAAUGGAAAGGAACAGGCUUUCCAGGAGAGUUUUCUAACUGUAUACCCCGGUUAAGACUUAACCUAACAGCAUUUUUAUGUGCCACGGCCCACUUAGUUAUUGCAGCAGCUUGGAAGAGCAGUAAACUCCCUUUGUUAUCUGAUUGAUACAAGAAGAUACAGGAAAUAUUUGUAAUGGAGAACAUUCUAGAUCAACAAAAGCAGAUUGAGUCAGACCAAUAUAUCUCUGAUUUUGCUGAAACAUGGCCAACUGUAAUUGACUUUACAGCAAGAAAUGAGGCAACUUUUCACUUUACCCACCCCAAACAGUUCCUACUUUUAUGAUGUAGAUGUAUCAUUAGCUGUAGUUCUAUCCAUGAUUGUAAAUUUAGUUGACCCACUGUUCUUUAAUUACUUAGUAAUUCUUGUGUAUACUUUAAUAUUUAGCAUCUUUCAGUGUUUUGAUUUCUAACUUCUGAGGUAUGUUGUUUUAAAGCUGUUAUUGUACAAUUUUUCUGUUUUAAUAAAGUUUAUUUAAAGCUGGGGGGAAAAAAUAAGUUGACCUGAAGGGCGGUAUAUAAAUUGAAUGUUGUUGUUGUUGUUGUUGAAAUUGUGGCCCCUUCAUUAAUACUUUCCCACAAAACUGCCCAACCAAAGUGGUUUUAGCUCUAUUAUGAAAAAAAGUCACAUGCUUGUCUGUUUGUUUUUUCUUCCUGUUCUGAGGCUAUAAGCAAAGGGGAAAGUGAUGAGGGAAAUUCUGAGGCGUGGAAGAGUUCCCUUCUCCAACACUGAAACCCCAAUACAUACCAGCUGCAUUUUAAAACUAAAUUACAUGUGAGGUAUCCAUGCUCUUUCUCACCAACAUCACAAGUAGUCAUUGCCAACUACAAAGAAGGGUCUGGGAGAGAAUCGAACAGAGCUUGACUGGUCAUGUUCACAGUCUCACUGCCGAAGAGUCUCUCUUCAGCAUUUGGAUGAGACUAUAUAAACAACAUAUAAAUAGAUUCAAAGAAGCUCUGUUAAAUACUGACAGAGAAGAUAUUCUCUCCAAAGAUGAGCAGAGAAGACAUUCUCUCAUUGACAGUAACACAGAGGUAAGCAACUAACAUUUGAGUUACUAUACAUUAUCUCUGCAGUGUCACUUGCUAUCCACUAUCAGAGAGCGGAUACCAGUGUUGACGUGAGUUUUGUAACUUUUACAUUGAAAUCCUAAGCAGAGUGACUCCAGUCUAAGCUCAUUGAUUUCAAUGGGCUUAGACUAGAGUCACUCUCCUUAGUAUUUCAUUGUUAGAGUCCCAAAAGAUUAAACCAGUUCAUGGAGUUUCUUGGUUAGACAAAGCCUCUGAUCCAUUCUGCUUUACACAGUGGUUUGUUGGAUACCACCAGAUCUUUGCUGUAUGACACAGUAUGUUGGACUGGAUGGUCCACAGGCGCCUCUUAUGUUCUUCCAGUGUCCAGGAGAGACUCAUACUUAAUGAUUACUUUUCUCUUUUUAUUUCUCAAGAUUGAGGGAACAGAUUAUGGUCCUAAUUUAAAAUAUUCUGGACAUUCUAAUUCUACCCUGGAUCCAGUCAUUCACGAUUCUCUCUCAUAGUGCAGACUGGCGGCUCUUUUCUCAAUAUCCUCAGAAUACAUUGUUUUGUCCACAGUUAUUUCUGUGUCCUGUGCCCAGUAGAAACUUACCGUUACAUUUGUACGUAUUUUUAAGCUUCACUGCUCUAAGCCUUUAACCCUUUCCAAUGAAUAAAUGUGUGUUGUUGUUUUA